GUUGAGCGAGAUAAGUUGUAGCAAUACGGCUUUGAAAGCGGCGCACGGGUGCGUAACACGUAUGCAACCUACCUUUUACUGGGGAAUAGCCUCUCGAAAGAGAGAUUAAUACCCCAUGAUAUGUUUUGAAGGCAUCUUCGAAAUCUUAAAGCUCCGGCGGUAAAAGAUGGGCAUGCGGUUGAUUAGCUAGUUGGUGAGGUAAUGGCUCACCAAGGCUUCGAUCAAUAGGGGGUCUGAGAGGAUGUCCCCCCACACUGGUACUGAGACACGGACCAGACUCCUACGGGAGGCAGCAGUAGGGAAUAUUGGACAAUGGGCGCAAGCCUGAUCCAGCCAUGCCGCGUGCAGGAUGAAGGCCCUAUGGGUCGUAAACUGCUUUUGUACGGGAAGAAACCUCACUACGUGUAGUGAGUUGACGGUACCGUGAGAAUAAGGAUCGGCUAACUUCGUGCCAGCAGCCGCGGUAAUACGAAGGAUCCAAGCGUUGUCCGGAUUUACUGGGUUUAAAGGGUGCGUAGGCGGACUUUUAAGUCAGUGGUGAAAGCUCGCAGCUUAACUGUGAAAUUGCCAUUGAAACUGAAAGUCUCGAGUGUGGUUGAGGUAACUGGAAUAUAUCAUGUAGCGGUGAAAUGCUUAGAUAUGAUAUAGAACACCAAUUGCGAAGGCAGGUUACUGAGCCACAACUGACGCUGAGGCACGAAAGCGUGGGGAUCAAACAGGAUUAGAUACCCUGGUAGUCCACGCCGUAAACGUUGAAUACUCGAUCUUAGCGAUACACCGUUAGGAUCCAAGCGAAAGCGUUAAGU
rnacentral:rRNA from 1 species